GUAAUGAAUACAGGAGCAUCUGAAAUCAUCCGGAGUGUUUGUUGUGGUUUGUGUUGUUUAGUCUUUAGUUUUCUAUGUUGUGUCUUGUGUACUAUUAUUUGUCUGUUUAUCUUUUUCUUUUUUAGCCAUGGCAUUGUCAGUUUGUUUUCGAUCUAUGAGUUUGACUACCUCUGGUAUCUCUUUUACAAAAGGGUUCGCCUAACUCGAC
rnacentral:lncRNA from 1 species